UACGUAGGGGGCAAGCGUUGUCCGGAUUUAUUGGGCGUAAAGAGCGUGUAGGCGGUUUGGUAGGUCCGUUGUGAAAACUCGAGGCUCAACCUCGAGACGCCGAUGGAAACCAUCAGACUAGAGUCCGGAAGAGGAGAGUGGAAUUCCUGGUGUAGCGGUGAAAUGCGCAGAUAUCAGGAGGAACACCGGUGGCGAAGGCGGGUCUCUGGGC
rnacentral:rRNA from 1 species